GGUUGUCGUCAGCUCGUGUCGUGAGAUGUGGUUAAGUCCCGCAACGAGCGCAACCCUUAUCCUUAGUUUGCCAGCAUUAAGUUGGGCACUCUAAAGAGACUGCCGGUGAUAAACCGGAGGAAGGUGGGAUGACGUCAAAUCAUCAUGCCCCUUAUGACCUGGGCUACACACGUGCUACAAUGGCCGGUACAAAGAGUUGCGAAGCCGCGAGGUGGAGCUAAUCUCACAAAGCCGGUCUCAGUUCAGAUUGUAGUCUGCAACUCGACUACAUGAAGUCGGAAUCGCUAGUAAUCGCGGAUCAGCAUGCCGCGGUGAAUACGUUCCCGGGCCUU
rnacentral:rRNA from 1 species